UACGGAGGAUGCGAGCGUUAUCCGGAUUUAUUGGGUUUAAAGGGUGCGUAGGCGGAUUAAUAAGUCAGUGGUGAAAACCUGCAGCUUAACUGUGGAACUGCCGUUGAUACUGUUAGUCUUGAGUAUGGUCAAGGUAGGCGGAAUGUGUAAUGUAGCGGUGAAAUGCUUAGAUAUUACACAGAACACCGAUUGCGAAGGCAGCUUACUGGGCCGUUACUGACGCUGAUGCGCGAAAGCGUGGGGAUCGAACAGG
rnacentral:rRNA from 1 species